UUCUGAAUGACAAACCUUGUUUGGUGAUGAAAAUUGAUGACAGUCAUGUUCCCAUCACCAAGCAAAGUUUGGAAUUUAGA